GUUUUCAAAUUUAGAACACAUUCACACCGUAAUGUGAAGGCAUUUUUAGCUCCCAAAUGGUAACUGACAUUUGAGGGCUUACUAUCUGCCAAGGCUGCACACAAAUUAUCUUUUCUAAUCCUCACCAUGACUAUGCAAGGAGGGCAGCCUGCAUUUUCUCCAUUUUAAGGAGGAAGAGGAAACCAGAGUGAUGUGAUGGGAAAGACUUAACUGCCCAUUCCUGGCCUUGAAGAGGGAGGAAGGAGCCAUGAGCCAAAAAGGGAAAGAGAAGAAGGGCUGAAGCUGGAAAAGGGAGAGAAACAGACUUCCCCUCACAGGCUCCAGAAAGGAAUGCAGCCUUCCCUAUGCUUUGAUGUUAGUCCAGAGAGAUCCUUUUCAGACUUUCCACCCUCUGAACUAGAGAUUCUGGAUGGCAUGACCUCUGAGAAGAAGGGCCUUAGGACCUUAUGGAUAGCAGCAAAAGAAGAGGCAAACACCAGGGUUUUCUUACCCUAAAAGGAUUUUUCUGUUCUUAAUUUGUAUUAUUGAACACGUGUUAUGUGCCCC
ensembl:lncRNA